CGUAGGGUGCAAGCGUUGUCCGGAAUUAUUGGGCGUAAAAGAGCUCGUAGACGGUUUGUUGCGUCGGCUGUGAAAAUCCCGAGGCUCAACCUCGGGUCUGCAGUCGAUACGAGCAAAACUAGAGUGUUGCAGGGGAGACUGGAAUUCCUGGUGUAGCGGUGAAAUGCGCAGAUAUCAAGGAGGAACACCGGUGGCGAAGGCGGGUCUCUGGGCAACAACUGACGCUGAGGAGCGAAAGCGUAGGGGAGCGAACAGGAUU
rnacentral:rRNA from 1 species